GCGGACGGGUGAGUAAUGUCUGGGAAACUGCCUGAUGGAGGGGGAUAACUACUGGAAACGGUGGCUAAUACCGCAUAACGUCGCAAGACCAAAGAGGGGGACCUUCGGGCCUCUUGCCAUCAGAUGUGCCCAGAUGGGAUUAGCUUGUUGGUGAGGUAACGGCUCACCAAGGCGACGAUCCCUAGCUGGUCUGAGAGGAUGACCAGCCACACUGGAACUGAGACACGGUCCAGACUCCUACGGGAGGCAGCAGUGGGGAAUAUUGCACAAUGGGCGCAAGCCUGAUGCAGCCAUGCCGCGUGUAUGAAGAAGGCCUUCGGGUUGUAAAGUACUUUCAGCGGGGAGG
rnacentral:rRNA from 2 species